GGCAGAUUCAAGAGAAUCAAAAUAUACUGCAUGAAAACAACCAAUUAAACAAAGAAGUUGUGAGAACACUGUAUUCCAAGAAAGAACUACUAACUGUAAUGGAGUCUGAUUUCAAGGCACCCAGUGACCAGGGCUGACAACUUGCCCCAGACCACCAGCCUCCCCACUGAGAAAGCAAGAGGACUCACAGUUCUUCAGCAUCUCAGGGAGCCUACAGUGGCAAUCCAGUUUCUUCAAAGCAUCUGUGGAUUCUCUCAGCUUUCCUGGAUAAGGGAAGAGAAAUGAAGAGAAGUUGUGAAAUUGAAUUGAGCUAAAUAUCGUUAGAGAUUCUGGAACGGGAUUCUAUGAAGGUGAUGACUGCACAGUAGCUCCCUUCCCUCCAUUACCUACUUAUUUGUGUCAGUGUCUCCUCCCUGUGUUCCUAAGAACUCUUUCCUGAAAUUCUUAGGCCCACUGUUGCCUGUGUGUAUGUGAGAUGUUGGUUUGGACAACAAAUGCAGAGCCAUGUAUCAUUUGGGCUUGAUCAUCUUUGUAAGCCAGGACUUGCAUAGCACAGAUAACAAGAACUUGACCUUCAUGCCCCUCUGUCUAGGAGAGUCCUAGUAGAUUUGGGUGUUAAAAAUCUUCCUCCAACUGCCUCAGAAGGAGACAGGUGACUCCCCUGCUUUUAUUCUACAGUCCUCUCAGAAUACCUACCAAUGUCUUAUAAUGACCCGCACAGUUUGGCAGUUCAGACCUCAUCUCUCAUUCUCUCUAAUUUCUUGCUUUUACUCUAGCCACACUGGCCUUGUUUUGUUUUGCGAACAUCUGCGGCAUACUCCCACCUCAAGAUCUUGGCAAAUGUUACAUCCUCUGAUUGGAAUGCUCUUCCCAGAUGGCCACAAGUUUUGCUCUCUGAUCUUCCUCAAAUUUUUCCUUAAAUAUAAAACUUUUUCCUGAUCAUUCUACUUAAAAUUUCAACCCCACAGUGUUUUCCUAGUUUCUUGUCUUUUACCUAAUGCACUUAUAACUUUUUAAAAUACUUUUACAGAUUGGUUUGUCGAAUGCUAUAUAUAUUAUUUCUUUAAAAUUUGUUUGCCUACAAAUGUAUUUAUUAAAUUUGUCUUCUGCCUCCCCCAAGGAAUACAAGCUUCAAUAGUUCUAAAAAAGUAAACAUAAAAUAAAAUAAAAUAAAAAUAAAAAUUCAUGCACUGGAAAGACAAAUUUAGAAUUUAAGAAUAAACUUAAAAAUAAAGAUAUUCAUGAGAAAGUGACAUUUUAAUGAAUGUUGGAAAUGUAACCAAUGCUUUUGAAUAGGAUCACUAAAGAUAAAGUGAACUCAUUCAAAUUUAACGUAUUAAUUUAAUACAUAAUAAUCCCAGCAUUUAAAGAAUUAUCUAAAAUUAUAUUCAAAUUAUGGGAGAAAUAAGUUCCCCCACAUAGGCAAGGAAAAUAUUGAAAAUAUAAUUUAAAUUAUAAUUCAAAGUAAUGGAAUCUGAAUAUUUUCCACAUCAGUGAUCCUGCACAAGUGAUUUUUCCAGUCCAUUUCCAUGAGUAAUGCAGUCCAUUUGAUUAGCUUUCAAAGUGUAGCUUCUCAAUGCUUUAGACUCACAAAUACAUGACAAGUGUUAAAAAGGUUUGCUAAUCUAUUUUAUAGUCUUCUCUUGUUCAACCCACAAUGUAAUUUUUUCAAUCAUAAUUAUACAGUGGUGUGUUGUGAAUUUGAAGAACAAAGAUUCAAAAUAUUUUGCAUUUUAGAAAUUGUCUGUAGGUUAUAGAAAUAAAGAGUAAAAAUAAUAGAAUAUUUUAAGAUGUUUGAUUAUUUCCAGUGAAGAUGUAGAAUUUGAUUCUAUUUUUAAAUUUUUUUUUAGAAUUACCAUGUGUUACAUGUGAGUUUAUUGCUAUCUGAAUUGUUACAAAGAAAGAAUCUCUGUCCAUUUUCUGUUUAUUAAAUUUAGAAUGUUAAAUG
rnacentral:lncRNA from 1 species